rnacentral:ncRNA from 1 species
GGUAUUAUCUGUACAGGAUAGGUGGGAGACUUGGAAGCAAGGGCGUCAGCCCUUGUGGAGUCGACCUUGGGAUACCACCCUGAUGAUACUGAGAUUCUAACCGGAGGCCAUGAAGCUGGUCACGGGACAUUGUUAGGCGGGCAGUUUGACUGGGGCGGUCGCCUCCUAAAAUGUAACGGAGGCGCUCAAAGGUUCCCUCA